CGUGUAUCUGGACAUUCCCAAUCACCGACCCAAUCAAUCAGAAACGCGUUUUUUUGUUGAAACGGAGCGUAAAUUCUAAUAGUUGGGAACGGUGCAAUUUGGCGAUCUGGAUCGCGUACCUUGGGCAAUCGGUACGAUUUUGUACCCGUUUCCGGUACAAACGAUCUGGAACAUAGAUCGCGGCUUUCAUUUUAUCUACCAUUCAACACUGUAAUGCUUAGAUCAUGUCUAAACUUGUUACUGGAUGUCCCUGUGAAGUGGAUAAGCACAACUUCUAUAGAAUGAAGUAUGAACUAGUAACACUGCUACAUAUAUGUGGCAACAUAUGGUGGCUGGUUUACGAUUGUUUUUUAUGACGACAAGGCCAGAUUGGUUGAUUAAAAUACCUUUUUUUUCCAAACAUCAAAUCAUUUAUGUAGUUCAUGAUUUCAGUAUU
rnacentral:lncRNA from 1 species